rnacentral:lncRNA from 1 species
AAUGUCUACCGCAUAUGUGGGAGUGUCAAACACUACGUGAGAGAGUGCCCGCGAAAUCAGAACCAGCUCAGACGUCCUAUAAAGGGCAAAAUUUACAACCUCACUCAGUAUGAUGCUGAAGCCAACCCGAAUGUAAUACAAGUUACGUACAUUAUCUAUAAUCACAUUGUACAUAUUUUGAUUGAUAAUGGUAUUUCACAUUUAUUUGUCUCACACACUUUUGCACAAAACUUAAAUAUAUUACUUGAAAGAUUUGAUUAUGUAUUAUU